GGCCAGCAAUGAUGGGCAUUGUAGUUCACAAACAGCCGGAGACCCAAGUUUGGGAAACCCUAGUAUAUUGGUCCAAUUAAUCUUCACUGAGACCUAAGCACACCUUGAGGAUUUCCACCCUAGCCUAUUGUUGACAUGAGACCAAUUUUAACUUGUGCUUAAACCUUUUCUAAAGCUGCAAUGGUGUUUGUACAUAUAUCCUUUUGUUUGACUGGUGAAUGGCUUAAUUUAGAAUGCAAAACUGAUAGUCCUGAUGGGUUUUUACGUGGCUGAGUUUGCAAUAGCAGGCGGAUCCUUAUUCUGUUGAGGGAGACGAGACCUCAGGAUUCACGAAGUAAUGCUCGUUUUUGGCAUGGUAGCAUAACCACAACAGAGGAGAGCACGCCAGGAUCCGAAAACUAAAAGUAGCUUUACAAAAUCCGGGAGGCUUGCAGAUGGUUGAGCUACUAGGAACGGCUAGCAAGCAUAGCUCCGAAUGGCUUCCAGCUCAGACGCUACCACAGCUGAGAGUAGACACGUGUUGAGUCGAGUGGACAGAUAAGCCAGGUGCAGGCUUCUGCUGACUAGAAAAGAGUGCUCAGUGACCACCGGAAGGAGGCAGACGAGAGUAAGGAUCCUUGCUCUUAGGACUAGCAGUCAGACGCAGAAGGAAGGAAAGGUUAUAUUACUGUACUGGUAGGUAAGAACAGAUUUUACUUAUGUCCUAUACAGUUUUGUUAUCCUGCUAAACUUUUCUCAGAGGCUGAGUUUACCUUGUAAAUACUAGUUCAGCUACUUAAAUUUUCCCAGUGCUGUAAAACCCAGUGCAUUAGAUGGGUAGAACAUAAUAAUUGACUUUUGCACAAUUUUUUAUUUAAAAAAAAGUCGCAACAUGGGUGAUGAAAUGUAUUUAAUGAAAGCACUGCCUCUUAUCUCCUCCUUGGGUAGCCUUGUGGACUUAUAAAAGCAUAGUACCACAAGGCACUGGCUAUACUACUGUAAAUGCAGACUACUUUGGGGGGAGGGGACUCCCAUGCAAAGUGCCUGUUAAAUGUAAUAGGGUGAGGUCGUAUUGAGUAUUUUAACACAUCUUCCUUUUUAUAGGAGAAGAGCUGUCCAGUGCUAAAACACACCUGCUCCAAGACAAUGGAAUAGGAUGUCCCUGGAUCUCCUUUUCUGUUUAAAAGGACUCUUCAACUUCACAUACCACAAAGCUUUCCAAGAAAGUUUAAAUGGCUACUGGGUAGUUGUAUACAUAAACUAUUCAAGUGAAUAGCUGUUAAGUAAUUUUGUAGCAACUGGGUUGCAUUUUCAGAGCUGUCAGCAUCUAAGGCACUAGUGAAUUCCAUAAUAUUCUGACACAGCCUUCUUGGCCUUCAUAUAAAAACAGGGUUGAAUUCCACUUCAUUGUGCACUUUUCAUUGCAGAAUUUAUUGAAGUAGACCUACAAUUAUGUCUUCAGAUUUCAGCUGCUCAACACCUACAAUUUCUCCCUUCCAUAAAUAAAAUGACUGGGGCCAAAAAAACCCAUCUCAAUAAAAUGAGCAAUAUUUGCA